rnacentral:pre_miRNA from 1 species
AAUAAACCAAUCUUUUAUUUUUCAUUUAUAAUGUUUGACUCUUUAUCUUAUUUAAAUUUUUUUUACGAUUAACAUUUUUAUUUUUAUUAGAUGAUAAAUCAUGUAUAGUACUUUACAUAUAACUAAUUUUUUUAAUUUCUUAAAUGAUUUUUAUAUAAGACGGAUAGUCAACCGCUGGACGUAGAUGGUCAAAAGUUUAUCUUACU